rnacentral:misc_RNA from 1 species
GAUGAAGAACGCAGCGAAAUGCGAUAAGUAAUGUGAAUUGCAGAAUUCAGUGAAUCAUCGAAUCUUUGAACGCACAUUGCGCCCGCCAGUAUUCUGGCGGGCAUGCCUGUUCGAGCGUCAUUACAACCCUCAGGCCCCCGGGCCGGGCGUUGGGGAUCGGCGGAGCCCCCCGUGGGCACACGCCGUCCCCCAAAUGCAGUGGCGGUCCCGCCGCAGCUUCCCUCGCGUAGUAGCUAACACCUCGCGACUGGAGAGCGGCGCGGCCACGCCGUAAAACACCCAACUCUUCUGAAGUUGACCUCGAAUCAGGUAGGAAUACCCGCUGAACUUAAGCAUAUCAAUAAGCGGAGGA